GAAAAACAGUAGGGCUUUUGGAAAGUGGUCGUUCUGAGAACAAUGACACGGGUGCGCGCAUGCAUGUGAAGACUCCAUUUUCUAUUUUCAGUGUUUGAACGAAAACAAGGUCUCCCGGUCAGAAUAUUAUCGCUAUUUUAUGAGAAAAAUUGCAUAAAAAUUGAUUGUAAACAGCGUUUGACAUGCUUCGAAGUACGGUAAUGGAAUAUUUUGAAAUUUUUCGUCACGAUAUGCACCGGCACGUCACCCUUCGGAUAGUGUCUUGAAUGCAAGAACAAAACGCAGCUAUUUGGAUAUAACUAUUAUUUGGAACCAAAACAACAUUGGGUGUUGAAGUAGAAGUCCUGGGAGUGCAUUCUGAUGAUGAACAGCAAAGGGACUAAAGUGGGCAACUGAUCGCAUUUCACACGUUGGGUUGGCGGCCCGACUCAUUUGGAGGUUGAAGGAUAUCCCACCCUGACGCCCUGCAGAUGUAGCCCUUUUCUGCAGUCAAAUCGCCCUUUAGUAAACUCAUGGGUGGAAUGUUAUUCAUAUUUUUUAUAUUUUCAUAACGAAAAAAACUCCACUCAAACUAUCGUUUGGUAUUUGUUUAAUUAGUCCAUUGUUGACAUAGUCCCAAAAUGUUUUGCUUGUCAGCAAUCAAAUUUUUAAGAUCCAGAAAUCAUCCCCUGUAUAAUACAUUUUCCAUCAUAUUGUUGUGGCAGAUAUUUGGGUGAGCUGUUGUAACUUCUCAAGAGUUAUGUUAUUGUUCUGUGUUGAACUGUGAUGUCAUGCAUUUCAUAGACUCCUGUUAUCACUGCAGCCUAACACAAGGCCAUUGUGUUCUGGAACUGUUGCUUAUAUAAAAUAACUGAUUGUAUUACCACCUCCCACUAUAUAAGGGACAUGGAACCAUUUACUCUGGGAGCUGACUGUGAUCAGAGACGGAUCUACGUUGCAGCUGCUCUUAUGCAUUAAAGAUUUUUCUAUUG
rnacentral:lncRNA from 1 species